GAUGAACGCUGGCGGCGUGCCUAAUACAUGCAAGUCGAGCGAACAGACGAGGAGCUUGCUCCUCUGACGUUAGCGGCGGACGGGUGAGUAGCACGUGGAUAACCUACCUAUAAGUCUGGGAUAACUUCGGGAAACCGGAGCUAAUACCGGAUAAUAUCUUGAACCGCAUGGCUCAAUAGUGAAAGACGGUUUUGCUGUCACUUAUAGAUGGAUCCGCGCCGCAUUAGCUAGCUGGUAAGGUAACGGCUUACCAAGGCGACGAUGCGUAGCCGACCUGAGAGGGUGAUCGGCCACACUGGAACUGGGACACGGACCAGACUCCUACGGGAGGCAGCAGUAGGGAAUCUGCCGCAAUGGGCGAAAGCCUGACGCAGCAACGCCGCGUGAGUGAUGAAGGUCUUCGGAUCGUAAAACUCUGUUAUUAGGGAAGAACAAAUGCGUAAGUAACUAUGCACGUCUUGACGGUACCUAAUCAGAAAGCCACGGCUAACUACGUG
rnacentral:rRNA from 1 species